GUGGCUGUGAUGAUCGGCGCAGGGGUACGGACCUCAGCUGCAUCAUGGGAGCUGAGUGUAGGUGGGUCUCUGAGUCCUGCACGUGGUAGGACGGAAGAGAGCACUUACAUGAGACUGGUGCCUAAGUCUGAGCCUC
rnacentral:snoRNA from 13 species